UACGUAGGGUGCAAGCGUUGUCCGGAAUUAUUGGGCGUAAGGAGCUUGUAGGCGGUUUGUCGCGUCUGCUGUGAAAUUUCGGGGCUCAACCCCCGAACUUGCAGUGGGUACGGGCAGACUAGAGUGUGGUAGGGGAGACUGGAAUUCCUGGUGUAGCGGUGAAAUGCGCAGAUAUCAGGAGGACACCUAUGCGAAGGCAGCUCGCUGGGACGUAACUGACGCUGAGACGCGAAAGCGUGGGGAGCAAACAGG
rnacentral:rRNA from 1 species